GGCCUGUCAAAGUCCAUUUAGAUAUAUUGUAUAUGAUUUAGAGCCGAAUAAGUAAUAAAUGUUGUAGUGGAGGAAACUGUACAUCCAACCUACAUUUUAAAGAAGUGGUGCAGUGGCCUACUAAGUAACACACUCGCCUAUGAACCAGAAGGUCUGAAAGUUACAGCUUUCAACCCUGAGUUGUUCAAGAGGGACUGUCCUGUAACAAGUCAGUCUGGAGAAAAGCAGAAAAUUUUGUUUUUUUUUGUAAAGAUUUUAACAAUGGUGGAAUUCGCUCAAAAUCACCAAAAACGUUGUAAAUCGAUUUGAAAAUAGAUUAGUAAAGCACUUUGCUCUGUUGAAAAAUAAAUAGUUAUUUAAAUAAGCGCAUUUGGCAACAUAUAAUAAGCGCAAGCGCGCGCUAACGUUGCCAGAUCUGGACAAAUAGAAUUCUUCCAAAAUAAAUUCGGAAGAACCCCGAAGCGUAUCCAGUGGCGGAGGCAUGGCUCUGGACCUGGGACCUCAGACUAACCUGACUAGAAUUUAUAAGCAGUCACAACAUCAGCCAAACCAAGACAUUCGGCACAACGAGCGGUCUGAUGAACGUCGCGUAAAAAACACUCGACUUGGCAACAGCGGCGCGCAGCGACAGGCAGCCACGUAGGGAACGAUGAAGGCCUUUCGGCGGCGGCCAGAUGAAUAGCGUCAGCCUCGGACCUUAAUUCUGAUGAGUACGAGGGCGCUGGGCUCGGUCAGACCCGCGCCCGGCCCGGGGUUCGGCUGGUGUUCCUGCGUACUGCGCCGCGACGCGCGACAUGGCGGGCAGGGCGCCCGCGUACUGGGUAGCCCGGCGUGUUUGGUCCUGACCGCAGGCGUGGGAAAUCUCUGUCCCAGUUCGAGCAGAACUACGCGCCGUGUUAUUGUGAUGUGAAAACGGCGAGAUGGCGUGCGUGUGGUUUUCUGCGUUCGUGCUCCGGGGAGGAAGUGUGUAUCGUAGCGAGAUUUAGGUCGCGGCACCUUAACCAGACAGCAGUUUCGUUUCACGU
ensembl:lncRNA